CGACCGACCGACCAAUCGCGACCGCCUACCCCGUGCGCACGCUUUUACUUGCACCACCCACGCAACCAGUAGCAGCCCCGACAUCGUCUUUUGAUCCUCCUCGUCUUCCUUCUUCAUCGUUCCUUUCGCACGCAGACACUGAGAGAGAGAGAGAGAGAGAGAGAUGACGAGGGGAAAGCAGAAGAUCGAGGCGCAGAGGAAGAACGCGGAGCGGAACCAGAAGGGCAAGGGGUCCCAGCUCGAGGCCCGGGUCGUCGGCCUCAAGGUCACCUGCCCCAUUUGCAAGGUGCAACUAGCAAAUCAGAAUCAACUUGGGGAUCAUUAUACCUCCAAACAUCCAAAGGAAAAGCCACCUAGUGACUCGAGCUGACGGCACCUUUCAUUUGUAGAGAAUUCUGGAAACUGUGGAGAAAAACUUAAUCCGCAUGUAUAAGGCUCUAUGUGAAGCACAAUAAUUUGACUCGUGUAAUUCGGUGCUGCUUCAGCAAGUCUGUAUUGCAACUGCAUUUGAACUCUCACAUUGUCACUUCUUCCUGCUUGCUUCGAAAUCAGUAUUCGUGUCAUCUACAACGGUCAUUUCAUAUGUAAGACUUUUGAAGUGAUGAUCUCUGGAGAAACUGUAGGUAUAUUUAAUCUCUUAA